rnacentral:tRNA from 1 species
UCCCAUGUGGCUCAGUUGGUAGAGCAUUGGGCUUGCAACGCCAAGAUUGAGGGUUUUGGGUUCAAUUCCCACAGGGGGA